rnacentral:rRNA from 1 species
GACGAACGCUGGCGGCGUGCCUAAUACAUGCAAGUCGAGCGAAUCAAUAGGAGCUUGCUCCUGUUGGUUAGCGGCGGACGGGUGAGUAACACGUGGGCAACCUGCCUGUAAGACUGGGAUAACACCGGGAAACCGGUGCUAAUACCGGAUAAUCCUUUUCCUCUCAUGAGGAAAAGCUGAAAGUCGGUUUCGGCUGAUACUUACAGAUGGGCCCGCGGCGCAUUAGCUAGUUGGUGAGGUAACGGCUCACCAAGGCGACGAUGCGUAGCCGACGUGAGAGGGUGGUCGGCAACACUGGAACUGGGCAACGGCCCAGACGCCUACGGGAGGCAGCAGUAGGGAAUCUUCCACAAUGGACGAAAGUCUGAUGGAGCAACGCCGCGUGAGCGAUGAAGGCCUUCGGGUCGUAAAGCUCUGUUGUUAGGGAAGAACAAGUACCGGAGUAACUGCCGGUACCUUGACGGUACCUAACCAGAAAGCCACGGCUAACUACGUGCCAGCCGCCGCCGUAACAC